rnacentral:rRNA from 1 species
CCUACGGGAGGCAGCAGCAAGGAAUCUUCCCCAAUGGGCGCAAGCCUGAGGGAGCAACGCCGCGUGCGGGAGGACGCCUUUCGGGGUGUAAACCGCUUUUCGGGGGGACGAAGCACUGACGGUACCCCCGGAAGAAGGCCCGGCUAACUACGUGCCAGCAGCCGCGGUAAUACGUAGGGGCCGAGCGUUGUCCGGAGUUACUGGGCGUAAAGGGCCCGCAGGCGGCGGCAUGAGCCCGGCGUGAAAGCCCCCGGCCUAACCGGGGAAGGGCGUCGGGGACCGUGCCGCUUGAGGGCAGCAGGGGGUGGUGGAAUGCCCGGUGUAGUGGUGAAAUGCGUAGAGAUCGGGCGGAACACCCGUGGCGAAGGCGGCCACCUGGGCUGACCCUGACGCUGAGGGGCGAAGGCGUGGGGAGCGAACGGGAUUAGAUACCCUGGUAG